rnacentral:rRNA from 1 species
CGUCGGAUGUGAAAACCUGAGGCUCAACCUCAGGCCUGCAUUCGAUACGGGCAAACUAGAGUUUGGUAGGGGAGACUGGAAUUCCUGGUGUAGCGGUGGAAUGCGCAGAUAUCAGGAGGAACACCAAUGGCGAAGGCAGGUCUCUGGGCCAAUACUGACACUGAGGAGCGAAAGUCUGGGGAGCGAACAGGAUUAGAUACCCUGGUAGUCCAGACCGUAAACGGUGGGCACUAGUUGUGGGAACCUUCCACGGUUUCUGCGACGCAGCUAACGCAUUAAGUGCCCCGCCUGGGGAGUACGAUCGCAAGAUUAAAACUCAAAGGAAUUGACGGGGCCCCGCACAAGCAGCGGAGCAUGCGGCUUAAUUCGACGCAACGCGAAGAACCUUACCAAGGCUUGACAUAUAGGGAAAAGUGGCAGAGAUGUCAUGUCCGCAAGGGCUCUAUACAGGUGGUGCAUGGUUGUCGUCAGCUCGUGUCGUGAGAUGUUGGGUUAAGUCCCGCAACGAGCGCAACCCUCGUUCUGUGUUGCCAGCAUUUAGUUGGGGACUCACAGGAGACUGCCGGGGUUAACUCGGAGGAAGGUGGGGAUGACGUCAAAUCAUCAUGCCCCUUAUGUCUUGGGCUGCACGCAUGCUACAAUGGCCGGUACAGAGGGCUGCAAUACCGUAGGGUGGAGCGAAUCCCAAAAAGCCGGUCUCAGUUCGGAUUGAGGUCUGCUACUCGACCUCAUGAAGUUGG